UGCCGCUUGCGAGGGCGUAUGGUGGAUGCCUUGGCAGACAGUACCGAUGAAGGACGUUUGAGGAUGCGAUAAUCCUAGGGGAGCCUCCAACAUGGCUUUGAUCCUAGGGUCUCCGAAUGGGGGAACCCGCCGGCCGUCAUGGGCCGGCACCGCCUAUGGGCGGGGGGUACGCAGGGAAGUGAAACAUCUCAGUACCUGCAGGAAGGGAUACUCCGUGAGUAGUGGCGAGCGAAAGCGGAUCAGACCAAACCGGUUGCGCGUGAUACCCGUCGGGGGUUGCGUUGCCGGUGUUGUGGGAUCACGUGUCCCGGUUCCGACGGGCCGGGCGGGAGUCAUAAAACGGCUUGCCAGGGGAACAGGCUUGAAGGCCUGGCCGUAGAGGGUGCCAGCCCCGUACCUGGACGUGAGCCGUCUUCCGAUCGUGUUGUCCCAAGUAGCGCGGGCCUCGUGGAAUCCCGCGUGAAUCAGCCCAGACCGUUGGGUAAGUCUAAGCAUACCUGUCUGACCGAUAGCGUACCAGUACCGUGAGGGAAAGGUGAAAAGCACCCCGGGAGGGGAGUGAAACAGUUCCUGAAACCGUGCGCCCACAAACCGUCGGAGCCUCUGUGUGGGGUGACGGCGUGCCUAUCGAAAAAUGAGUCUGCGAGUCAGUGGCGGGUGGCGAGCAUAAGCCGUGUGGCGUAUGCGUAGCGAAAGCGAGUCUUAAAAGGCGUUUGUAGUCGCUUGUCCUGGACCCGAAGCGGGAUGAUCUAGCCCUGGGCAGGUUGAAGCGCGGGUAAGACCGCGUGGAGGACCGAACCCACCUGGGUUGAAAACCGGGGGGAUGACCUGGGGCUAGGGGUGAAAGGCCAAUCAAAUUCCGUGAUAGCUGGUUCUCUCCGAAAUGCAUUUAGGUGCAGCGUCGGUCGAUUGCGUCGCGGGGGUAGAGCUACCGGAUGCUUGCGGGCCCUUGUUGGGUACCAACAGCAGCCGAACUCCGAAUACCGUUGACGUGUAUUCCGGCAGUGAGUCGGCGGGGGAUAAGCUCCGUCGUCGAGAGGGAGACAGCCCAGACCGUCGUCUAAGGUCCCGAAGCGUGUGCUAAGUGGGAAAGGAUGUGGAGUCGCAUAGACAGCCAGGAGGUUGGCUCAGAAGCAGCCAUCCUUGAAAGAGUGCGUAACAGCUCACUGGUCUAGUGGUUCCGCGCCGACAAUGUAGCGGGGCUCAAGCACACCACCGAAGACGCGGCAGCAAUCUUCAUGGUUGCUGGGUAGGAGAGCGUCCUGCGAGGGGCGAAGCGGCCGGGUAACCGUGCCGUGGACUUCGUGGGAGUGAGAAUGCAGACAUGAGUAGCGAGAGACGGGUGAGGAUCCCGUCCGCUGGAUGACCAAGGGUUCCGGGGCCACGUUCGUCGUCCCCGGGUGAGUCGGGUCCUAAGGCGAGGCCGACAGGCGUAGUCGAAUGGAUGAACGGGUGGAUAUUCCCGUACCGACCAUGGACCGGCAAAACCGAGACGGUGAGUACUAACCUCCGCCUCGUGGUGGUUCCUUCCUUCGGGUUGGUUCCGCCGCGUGGUGUUGGGACUGUAGCCGUAGUAGGUCAGCGCAGGGGUGACACGGAAUGGGAGCCGGCCGCGGAGGUGGUUUUCCGUGGUCAAGCACGCAGCCAGUCAUGUAGGCAAAUCCGCAUGGCGCGCAUGGCGAGGUGUGAUGAUGGGAGCCUUUUGGCUCGAUAUCCGGUUGUCCAGGCCGUCGAGAAAAGCCUCGGCGUGAGGGCCAUGGCCGCCCGUACCCCAAACCGACACUGGUGGUCAGGUAGAGAAUACCAAGGCGAUCGAGCGAAUCCUGGUCAAGGAACUCGGCAAAUCACUCCCGUGCCUUCGGUAUAAGGGAGACCCACUGGGGUGAAGGACCUUGCGUCCGGAGCUUUGGUGGGUGGCACAGACCAGGGGGUAGCGACUGUUUACCAAAAACACAGGUGCAUGCGAAGGCGAAAGCCGCUGUAUAUGCACUGACGCCUGCCCGGUGCCGGAAGGUUAAGAGGAUCCGUCAACUCUUCGGAGCGAAGCGGUGAAUUCAAGCCCCGGUAAACGGCGGUGGUAACUAUAACCAUCCUAAGGUAGCGAAAUUCCUUGUCGGGUAAGUUCCGACCUGCACGAAUGGCGUAA
rnacentral:rRNA from 1 species